AAGCGGAGGAAAAGAAACCCACAGGGAUUGCCCUAGUAACGGCGAGUGAAGCGGCAACAGCUCAAAUUUGAAAUCUGGCUCUUUCAGAGUCCGAGUUGUAAUUUGCAGAGGGCGCUUUGGCUUUGGCAGCGGUCCAAGUUCCUUGGAACAGGACGUCACAGAGGGUGAGAAUCCCGUACGUGGUCGCUAGCUAUUGCCGUGUAAAGCCCCUUCGACGAGUCGAGUUGUUUGGGAAUGCAGCUCUAAAUGGGAGGUAAAUUUCUUCUAAAGCUAAAUAUUGGCCAGAGACCGAUAGCGCACAAGUAGAGUGAUCGAAAGAUGAAAAGCACUUUGGAAAGAGAGUCAAACAGCACGUGAAAUUGUUGAAAGGGAAGCGCUUGCAGCCAGACUUGCUUGCAGUUGCUCAUCCGGGCUUUUGCCCGGUGCACUCUUCUGUAGGCAGGCCAGCAUCAGUUUGGGCGGUGGGAUAAAGGUCUCUGUCACGUACCUCUCUUCGGGGAGGCCUUAUAGGGGAGACGACAUACCACCAGCCUAGACUGAGGUCCGCGCAUCUGCUAGGAUGCUGGCGUAAUGGCUGUAAGCGGCCCGUCUUGAAACACGGACCAAGGAGUCUAACAUCUAUGCGAGUGUUUGGGUGUCAAGCCCGAGCGCGUAAUGAAAGUGAACGGAGGUGGGAACCCGCAAGGGUGCACCAUCGACCGAUCCUGAAGUUUACGGAAGGAUUUGAGUAAGAGCAUGGCUGUUGGGACCCGAAAGAUGGUGAACUAUGCUUGAAUAGGGUGAAGCCAGAGGAAACUCUGGUGGAGGCUCGCAGCGGUUCUGACGUGCAAAUCGAUCGUCAAAUUUGGGCAUAGGGGCGAAAGACUAAUCGA
rnacentral:rRNA from 1 species